rnacentral:rRNA from 1 species
GCAGUCGAGCGAACUGAUUAGAAGCUUGCUUCUAUGACGUUAGCGGCGGACGGGUGAGUAACACGUGGGCAACCUGCCUGUAAGACUGGGAUAACUUCGGGAAACCGAAGCUAAUACCGGAUAGGAUCUUCUCCUUCAUGGGAGAUGAUUGAAAGAUGGUUUCGGCUAUCACUUACAGAUGGGCCCGCGGUGCAUUAGCUAGUUGGUGAGGUAACGGCUCACCAAGGCAACGAUGCAUAGCCGACCUGAGAGGGUGAUCGGCCACACUGGGACUGAGACACGGCCCAGACUCCUACGGGAGGCGCAGUAGGGAACUUCCGAAUGGACGAAGUCUGACGAACAACGCCGCGUGAGUGAUAAGGCUUUCGGGUCGUAAACUCUGUUGUUAGGGAAGAAAAGUACAAGAGUACUGCUCGUACCUUGACGGUACUAACCAGAAGCCCGGCUACUACGUGCCGCACCGCGGUAUACGUAGGUGGCAGCGUUAUCCGGAAUAUUGGCGUAAGCGCGCGCAGCGGUUCUAAGUCUGAUGUGAAGCCCACGGCUCACCGUGGAGGUCAUUGGAACUGGGGACUUGAGUGCAAAGAGAAAGCGGAUUCCCGUGUACGGUGAAUGCUAGAGAUGUGGAGAACACAGUGGCGAAGCGGCUUUUGGUCUGUACUGACCUAAGCGCGAAGCGUGGGAGCAACAGGAUAGAUACCUGGUAUCCCGCGUAAACAUGAUGCUAGUGUAAAGGUUCCCCCUUUAUGCUGCACUAAGCUUAGCAUCCCCUGGGAUACGUCGCAGAUGAACUCAAGAAUGACGGGGCCCCACAGCGUGGACCUGUGUUUAUUCGAGCACGCGAAAACUUACAGGUCUGACUC